UCCGGUUAUUUUGCCCAGGCCUACUUUAUACAGUAAUAAAAUCUAAAAUUAAAUAAUUCUAAGUUGAUGUCUAACGGAGUAAUUUUAAAAAUAAUACAAUAACUAAAAGGGGAUAAGCUGAUCAUAGAGACCCUCCACGUCGGCAAUAAAAAUCAGCCAAUUAAAGAUCAGUAUGAUGCCACAUCACUCAAGCUUCGUCGCCCUAGCAUGUCUCUUCUUCUUCCCCUCUAUGUGUUUCUAACUUCUCCAAUUCUCAUCUGUAACGUCGGGCUCCAGAUUUGUCUUCUUUCUAUAAAUCGAUCAAAGAAAAUAACAUCAAGAAUCAAAAACGGCUGUUUCUAAAGGAAUCAGUGAUACAGAUAAAAAAAAACACCAUUCAAUGGAUAUAAAGGUCUUCUCUUUGUGGCUACUUGAUUUCAAUUUUCAGGUCAUCUUACUAUGAAUUCAUGUAUUAUUAAAGUUCUGCCAUAUAACCAUCAAGGAAGUUUUCAUAGUUUGAUAUUUGGAUCCAGAAAGGUUUUGAUUGGAUUUUCAAACCUUGGUUUUACAUUUUGACUCUUUUUUUAUUGUCUCAUUAUUAAGAAAUUGGGGAUUUGAUCUUCGCAGGAUUUGGUUAUUCUCAAAGGUCUGUAUACGGUUUUCGGAAUCUCUCCUCCGCCACCACUUGCACAAUUUUUAAACAGAGGUCUUCACACUCUGUCUUUGCCAGAAACAGCCAAGCCGGAGGUCGCAACUAUCUGCAAAAUUAUUGCAUGGAUGAACUUUGUGCUUCUUCCUCUAUCAUCAGAUAUGAUGAACUUUGUUUUUCCAGUUCAUGGUUUAAGCCUUUAAGUAGCAGGGCUACUGAAAGUAUGUUACUGAAACAUUCAGAGUUCACUACAGGAACAAGAAAGGUACACGUUUAAUUGCUAGAAGUCAUGAAGGUUGGGUUUCUUUGACACAAGAUCAAAAUCCAUGAGCUUUAGCGUUUGGAUCUGGCUAUUUUUGGGAAAGAAUGAUGUAGAUGUUUCAAUGUAUCAGGAUUGUACUCUGGUUGAACCCAAAUGGUGUUUGAAUGUUUCAGUACGAGUCUGGGUUCUCCAAAGGAAUCAUACGAGGUCGGCCAUGGUUAUGGGUUGUUGUUUUAGAAUGAAACAUACAUGUAUUAUAGUUGCUCAGAAUAUAGUUCUGGAGUGGUUUAUGUAUCUCUCAGUAUGUAAGUUAUCGGAGUUGUCGCGUUAAGGUCUGCUCUAGGUUAUGGUCAUUUGGCAUUUAUUUAUCAAACUAUGCAGUUGGUCUUUUUGAGGGCUCAUUUAUGGUUCUGGAUGGGUUUAUAAAGCUUUCAGUUUCAUUCAUUCUAUCAAGUUAAAAACACUCUAAGAAGGUGAUUAAGCCAAAAUCAUCACAGGAAUGGACUUUAUUGAUGGGAAAUGAGUCGGUUGCUCUCUGGUCUGUACUUUUAAAAUUUUUGGUAAAUGGUGGUUGCAAAGUA